GCAAGUCGAACGGUAACAGGAGAGAGCUUGCUCUCUUGCUGACGAGUGGCGGACGGGUGAGUAACGCUUGGGAAUCUACCUUGUAGUGGGGGACAACACGGGGAAACUUGUGCUAAUACCGCAUACGUCCUACGGGAGAAAGUGGGGGAUCUUCGGACCUCACGCUAUUAGAUGAGCCCAAGUCGGAUUAGCUUGUUGGUGAGGUAACGGCUUACCAAGGCGACGAUCCGUAGCUGGUUUGAGAGGAUGACC
rnacentral:rRNA from 1 species